rnacentral:rRNA from 1 species
CCUACGGGGAGCAGCAGUGAGGAAUAUUGGUCAAUGGCCGCAGGGCUGAACCAGCCAAGUCGCGUGAGGGAUGACUGCCCUAUGGGUUGUAAACCUCUUUUGUCGGGGAGCAAAAGCCGGACGUGUCCGGCUGUGAGAGUACCCGAAGAAAAAGCAUCGGCUAACUCCGGGCCAGCAGCCGCGGUAAUACGGAGGAUGCGAGCGUUAUACGGAUUUAUUGGGGUUAAAGGGUGCGAAGGCGGAUUUUUAAGUUAGCGGUCAAAUCGUGGGGCUCACCCCCAUCCAGCCGUUGAAACUGGGGAUCUAGAGUGUGCGAGAGGUAUGCGGAAUGCGUGGUGUAGCGGUGAAAUGCAUAGAUAUCACGCAGAACCCCGAUUGCGAAGGCAGCAUACCGGUGCACAACUGACGCUCAGGCUCGAAAGUGUGGGUAUCAAACAGGAUUAGAUACCCCAGUAGUC